UGGAAUCUGCCAGGAUUGUGUAUGGUCUCCAUUUUGUUUUGUGGGGUUUCUUCAGGCUUUUGCUGGUUUCUUUCCACAGGCAGAAACAUGUUGGAGCAGUGGCAGUCUGACAUACACAGCAAGUGUCUGGGCCCUUUUACUACAACAUCAAGUAACUGCCUUCCACAGAGCUUGUGUGCAUAGUUUGAACAGUCGGUAUAUGCACACCUGAAUGGGAUCUGUGAGCUGGAAAUGAUGAUCAGGUUUAAAGAGAGUUUAAGUCCCAUUAAUAAAGUAGAAUGGCUUCUUUGCGAGUGGAA